CACAGGAAAGUCAAAGGGAGCUGGGCCAUGCUGUGUAUAGAAAGUGGCAGAAGCGUUCAGACUACACACUGCUUGUUUUACUGUAGGAAGAGCCAGUCCUCCUGCACUACCUCAGAAAGCUGAUAAUACUGGCAGCUGAACUUCAACAGAGUAUUUGAACCAAGCCCAGGGUCUCUUGGCUCAGGACAUGAAAUGGUGCCUCUGAAAAUAGAAGAAUGAGAUAAAGGAGAGGGAACAUGAUUUAGAAAAAACACUCCUCCAGCACUUCAAUUAAUAAGGCAGUAUUCAUCCCUGGUGACUCAUCCUUAAAUCCACUGGAGCGGCAACAGGUGAAGUCAUCACAUUAUAUGAGAAAUCAUUUUUUCUCCCACAGCUUCCGUAGUCCAUAGGCUUAAUUUAAUUUGCAAUGUCCUGUGAUUUCCUUUGGUCUCAUUUCUGUCCUGUUUCCCUUGUCUGCAAGCUGCCAUUAAAUAACUUUUUUUUUUUUUCUUUGUGUUGUUGCUAAAAUGCAUGCUUUCCUUCCUAUACCUCCAGGUAGAUCUGUAUCAUCUUGUCUCCACUUCAAACCCUCCCAUUACUGCUUCUAAGCUUUUGCUAUACCCUGCAACAUAUCAUCCACUUUAGCCCAUCAGUUGAUUUUGAAAUUUCAAUCAAUUGAAAAUCUGUAUAUUUCCAAAUGUUUUUCCCGACAGCCUUUCAGUUUUCAGACCCUCCUAGUUCUUCUAAGAACUUAUUUGUUAUUCUUCUCUUUUUAGCUGCAUUUUCUUAUAUGUGUGUCCUCUGCUUCACAGCUCUUUGCUAACUAUGUAUCAGCCCCACUCCUUGAACCAAAUUCUCCUUUCUUUUUACCAAGUAGAUAUGCUUCCUCUCUUUCCUUUAGAACAAACCAACAAACAGAACACCAAAAAUCACACACACACACACACACACACACACACACACAAACAUCUAACUUGUAGGGAUGUGAAUGGGUUGAUUUUGAAUGAAUUCAAAUUGUAUCAAAAGCUAGAUAAUACUGGAUAAGAGGGAAGGGGAAUUCUUUGGCUGCUUGUUUGCACAGAGAAUUCCAGCCUAGCUCAUGUUAAGCAAAAAUUGAGGUCCUAAUCAUAUUAAAUGCAUAAAUUCUUAGAAUGACAGAGGUAACGUGCAAGAAAAAGAGAUUAUAUUCAAGAAAAAAGUAUAAAUAAAAAAAGGGAAAAAAGGAAAUUAUAAGAGUUUGGGAAGAAGUAUUCUGAGAUGUAGACAAUUUUCACUGAGACAGAAACAGCAUAUGAGACAGACAUAUUGAUGGAAUGCCUCUUUAAAUGUUUACCUCCCGCUACUUUAUGCUAUUAUAGUCUUUGACCAUCUAGUUCCUUUCCCAUUUAACUAUCUCUGACUUAUUUAUUUCUGUUGGGUUUUUGCUUGUUUUUCUUCAAUAAGAUUUUUCUAUUUUAUAAUGUCUGUACUAUAAUUCAGAAACAGAUAAGACCAAACUGUGUUCCUAGUCAUGUCCUUGAAAUACCUUUAAAAGAACAGUAAAGCAGAAUUUGCCUCAUCUCAUGCAAUUCUAUUUAGAAUCUUCAGGUUAUGUUGAAGAUAAUGUAUUUUUUCCUCACAGUGCUGAUUUUUCCCUAUAACAAUAAUACAUUUGUAACAUCUGUCCUGCCAUCUGCGAUUUUAAGUGGUUCAGCCUCCAUGUCUGUUUUCCAUAUACAGACUGAUUUCUUGAGAUACAUUCUGAUGAGUCAAAUGCAGUGAAUUGAUUUCAAGGAAUUAUUUCAUGAAAUAUUGCCAGCCUAUGUGAAAUUCCUGAAAGAAUACUUAAUUUAUUUGGACGCACACAAAAAAUGAUAAUGUUGAGGUAAUUUGCUGCUUCUAAUUGCAUUAUUACACAAAUAAAUAUUCAUUAAUAACAGGGGUAAUAAAACAACAGUUUAAAAUUUACUUCAGUAUUCCUAAAGCAUUUCUACCUUUGCAAAUAUUAAAGCGAGAUUAAAAGCAGUAGUCUGAGAAAAUAAGAUGAAGACUCAAAGGAUGGAUGGUGUUAAAUGGAAGAAAUACUUGCCAAAAACCUGAUUGCCCAAAGGAAAAUCUUGACACAAUUUAAGAGCAAAGUAAAGUUCAGAAUAUUCAAAGUUGGAACAAAUCAUUUUACUAUGGGAAACUGGUGACAGAUUAAAAAUGAAAGCAUUUUAAAUGUGUAAUUAACAACAAUCAUGAAUUCCUAUUAAUAAAACAUCAUUUUGUUCCUAGAAUAAAGUAGUUUCAUUUAAUGAAAACUAUAAA
ensembl:lncRNA